AUAUAGAUUAAGUUAUUAAGGGCGCACGGUGGAUGCCUUGGCACUAGAAGCCGACGAAGGACGUUACUAACGACGAUAUGCUUUGGGGAGCUGUAAGUAAGC
rnacentral:rRNA from 1 species